AGAACGAACGCUGGCGGCAUGCCUAAUACAUGCAAGUCGAACGAAGGCUUCGGCCUUAGUGGCGCACGGGUGCGUAACGCGUGGGAAUCUGCCCCUUGGUUCGGAAUAACAGUUGGAAACGACUGCUAAUACCGGAUGAUGACGAAAGUCCAAAGAUUUAUCGCCAAGGGAUGAGCCCGCGUAGGAUUAGCUAGUUGGUGUGGUAAAGGCUCACCAAGGCGACGAUCCUUAGCUGGUCUGAGAGGAUGAUCAGCCACACUGGGACUGAGACACGGCCCAGACUCCUACGGGAGGCAGCAGUAGGGAAUAUUGGACAAUGGGCGAAAGCCUGAUCCAGCAAUGCCGCGUGAGUGAUAGGACGUCGUUAGGGUUAGAA
rnacentral:rRNA from 1 species